UUAAAGAGGUGGAAUUUAGUAGCA
rnacentral:piRNA from 1 species